rnacentral:lncRNA from 1 species
CCGAGAAAUAAGUUAUGUGAUUGUAUGUGAUCAAAUCCGUGUUAACAUUGAUAUGUACAACCAGACAUCUGGUAACAAUGAAUGUUUGCGACAAAAAAAAAUGUUUACAUUUUAAGUUUGUGAACAAUUAUUUAUUUUCAUUGUGACUGUCUGUGAUUGAUAACCAAGUUUUUGUUAACUGUGAUUGAUUGUGACCAAGUUUGCUUUAGUGUUUUGUAUAUGACCAAUUUUGUGUUAGCUGUGACAUGUGUAACCAAACAUAUGUUACAGUGAAUGUUUAUGACAAAACUUGUUUACAUUUAAAGUUUGUGUCCAUUUAUUUGUUGACUAUAAUCGUAUAUGAUCAAAUCUGUGUUAACUGUAAUUAGCUAUGACUAACUCUGUCUUUAUUGCAUCCAUGACCAAGUGUAUUGUAAUUGUGACUGUAUGUGAUCAAAUCGAUGUUAAUAGUGACAUGUGUAACCAUACAUCUAUUAAGAGUGAAUAUUUUUGAACAAUGCUAUAAGUACAUAUUUUUCUACAGAAUUUGUACGGAAAGACAGUUGUCUUCAUGUAAUUGGCUAUUGUCAAAAGCAGUUUUUUAGCAAUAGUAAAUCAUCGGAAGACAAUUAUCUUUUUGUAACAAUUCUAUUAAAAAAAUUUGUACUUGCAGAUUAAUUGAAUAUUUUUUUAUAAAACUUGUUUACAUUUAAA